UCUCGUUACUCAACAUUGAUAUUGUAAAUAUCCUCGCCAAUUGAAUUGAAAAGGAAUUUUAAUAUGCCCUAUUACAUACCCCUUUCCAUACAAAAGAAUAAUAUGCAUUUUAGUGCAGUGCAUUUGAACAUUAUUCCAAGCGUGGUUAAUAUUGUUUUUAAUGUGUUGAUGGUUUUCAAUGGGUUGUUACGGUUACAUAAUUAACGCAAUAUAAUUAUUCUCAACACCUUUCUCAAACAAUACAACAUGUACCUAAAAUGCACCUUUCUUAUGUUGGCCACUGUCAAAGUAACCGAUGAUAAUUGCGAUCUUUAAAUGACAUAGUCACGCUUCAUGUCAAAAGACAUUAAUUUUCACAUGUUAAACGGUUUCUCCGAUGGGUGAAGCAAAUUGUGGAACAUGUUGUUUGAUGCUCUAAAUUGGUUGGUAAUUUAGAAAUAACUUAUAUAUUAUGCAGAUACUCCCCGUAUCAUCAUACACGGGUCCCGUAAACCAAGAUCCACGGCAUAUUUCUUUCAAAUUAUCUUUCACUGUCUCAUCAAAUUUCGUAAUUGCCUGUUUGUUUCGUUUGUUUCCCAUAACUGCAGUUAAAUGAAUGAAUGACAGAGGCUUAAUCACAAACAGUAUUCUUUCUCAUAGCCGUUAAUCUGUUUAAUAAGGGGCAAUAAAUCGCACAACUGUAUCAAUGCGCUGAUUACCCCGUAGGCGCCCCUCUUACUGAGUGACUGCGAUUCCCAAUAUGGCAGCGCGGCGAAAACAAAAGUAGAAACGUGCGAUGCGUUGAAACAAACGGCGCUUUAUACAAUAUCUACUUAUCAUAUCUGCAUAAAAAUGGUAUCAAUAUGCAGAUAACAAAGUUGUCUUUUAAUAUAAUUUAAAAACAAAAAAAUGCAUUUUAUAGCCUUCAAAUAUAGUUAGACGCCUUAAGUAGAUAUAAGAAUUUGCAUUUUCUUUUAAUAUUUCAGGAUCAAAAAAACGAUGGUCGAAAGAGGAGGAGAGUGCUCUACGGGAAGCCUUUGACAUUCAGAUAAAAAUGCAGAAAAACGUUUCAACAAUGGAGAUCAGGAAAGCACAGAAGUGUUAUCCUGUGUUGCAAGACAGAUCAGAAGCUGUUAUUCGGACAAAAAUAAACAACAUCAAAUUAGGAAAAUACAAAAAAAUAUGAACUGAAUUCAACCACUGCUAGAUAAGGGUAAUUUAAAAAAAAAUAAAGCCAUUGGUUUACAGUUGUAUGAUCAUGAACAUUUCUUGUGUCAGAAUGCCGAAAUUGAUGAGUGAAUUGGACUUUGCAAAGACAUGUGUUUUUGAAAUUAUAAAUGACUUUCACUGUUUAGUUUUCGCAGUGACCUUUGGAGGAAAUUGCUUUUCCAAUCAAUAACUGGAGAACCGUUGGGCCAAGCUUUGUGAAACUUAAUAGGAAGGUUUGUUUUUUUGUUGACCUCUAUUGUUUUUAGGUGACUAGGUCAAAGGUCAAAGUGACCUUGUAUGUUCAAACACUGUGAAAGAGUUGGGCCUAAGUUAAAGAAACAUAGUGUAGUUGGCUGUGACCAGUAGAUGGCACCUAUGAAUUAUUCAAAUAAUAUAUUUUGGUCAAAACCAACACAAGACAAAAAUGGAGUGUAGACGAAGUUGCUGAAAUAAAGGAGUAUUUUAAGACUUAUUUGGAUUCUGGCAUAACACCUAGAAACAAAGAAGUACAGUUGGCCAUGGCAAAAAGCAGGAAGAACAACGGCAUUCUUUGGAUGAGAAAAGCACAUCUCAUUAUUAAGAAGAUCAGCAACUUGAACAAAGACAAACGAAAAAUGUCUGUUAUCCAUUGUUUCCAUUCAUAGGGUAUCAACAUUUACUGUGUUUUUAUGCCCAUCCGUGUCAGUGAAACAUUUUUAGUUUCAAAUUUGAAAUACAAGCCACUUGAAGCAUAGAAGGCUUAAGAAAAACAGCCAUAUGGACUAGCUUAUAUCCAGAUUUGUUACACAUUUUUUUUUAUGCUUUUAAUUUCUAUAACAUUUUAGUGUGCACUUAAUUUUACUGUUUAUGUAUUGUCAUUUGAUAUUGAGACAUAUUGGAAAUUAUAAACUUAUUGUGAAAGGUAGACCUAUCAGAAAUUACACUAUUUAUGAUAACAUACAAAACACGCAAUAAUGCUUAAAAACAAUAAUCCUUUAACGAAUUAAUUUAUAUAAUUUAAGAUAAUUUAAACUUUAUAUAUAGAGAAAAAUGGGUUAGUGUUGUUGACAACAACCGAAUAAGUUAAGUUUUUGAUGUUAUUUACCAAAUUUUUCAAUUGCUUAAAUAUAAUUUAUUGUAUAAUAUUCAUUUAAAGUGACAAAUCGUUUGAUUCUUUCUUAUAGCUGAACCUAUGGUUCUGCAGUCAAGCACUGUUCCACUUAGCCAUAGAGGAUUGAUUGAAAUAGAUUAAGAGUUAACACAUUUAUAUUACUGAUAAAAAAAAUGCUCAAAAUGUAAACAAACAUGAUAUAAAAGCAGGCAGCUUUUUUUCUUUAAAAAAUAUAAUUUAUUGUAUAAUAUUCAUUUAAAGUGACAAAUCGUUUGAUUCUUUCUUAUAGCUGAACCUAUGGUUCUGCAGUCAAGCACUGUUCCACUUAACCAGGGAGGAUUGAUUGAAAUAGAUUAAGAGUUGACACAUUUAUAUUACUGAUAAAAAAAUGCUCAAAAUGUAAACAAAAAUGAUAUAAAAGAAGACAGUUUUUUUUUAUUCAUUUUUUUUUUUUUUUUUUUUUCAAAUUAUUUGAAUUUAUACUGGGGGACAUGUUUUGCCCUGUCUGUUGGUUUGUUUGUUUGUUGGCUUGUUUGCCAUAACUUUUGCAAUAUUGAAGAUAUCAACUUGAUAUUUGGCAUGCAUGUGUAUCUCAUGGAGCUGCACAUUUUGAGUGAUGAAAGGUCAAAGGUCAAAUAUACGGUUAAAAGCGCUCAUUAAAUAUACACUAUAACUUCGUUAGAACUUCUUUCACAUACUUAAUAUCUCAUAUGUAAUGUAUCUCAUACAGCUGAACGUUUGAAAUAGUGAAUUGGUAACUUCAAUGUCACCCAUCUAGGUCAAAGGUCAAGUUCUUCUACAAACUCAAAUACUUCAAAUUUAAUUACAGAACUUUCUGUGUCAUUAAUACUAUAAUAGGCAUGAUUUGUGUAUCUGAACUCCAUCACUAGUGUAUCUUUUAUCCCUAUUAUCAAGGCGUCUUUUAUAACAUUAUACCAUAAUAUCCACAGCCUGUUGGCAUUUAUUGUUUAUAAUGUAUGUGACUUUAAAAUUAACAAAUUUCUAAAUGUGAGCAAUUUUUAUGUCCAUAACUGGUGUAACUUUGAUGUCCAUAACCUAAGUGACAUAUUCUAAGUAACGGUAAUGUCCGUAAGUUGUGUGACUUAAUUGUUCAUAACCUAAGUGACUGUCAUGUCCAUAAAUUGUGUGACUUUAAUGUUAAUAAUCUAUUCUAAGUAACAGUAAUGUCCAUAAGUUGUCUGACUGUAAUGUCCGUAAGUUGUGUGACUUAAUUGUUCAUAACCUAAGUGACUGUCAUGUCCAUAAAUUGUUGUGUGAUUUUAAUGUUAAUAAUCUAUUCUAAGUAACAGUAAUGUCCGUAAGUUGUGUGACUGUAAUGUCCAUAAGUUGUGUGACUUAUUUGUUCAUAACCUAAGUGACUGUCAUGUCCAUAAAUUGUGUGACUGUAAUUUUAUUAAACUAAGUAACUGGCAUGUCCAUAACUUGUGUGACUUUAACAUCCAUAACCUAAGUGACUGUAAUGUCAUAAAUUGUGUGACUUUAAUGUUAAUAAUCUAUUCUAAGUAACGGUAAUGUCCAUAAGUUGUGUGACUGUAAUGUCCAUAAGUUGUGUGACUGUAAUGUCCGUAAGUUGUGUGACUUAAUUGUUCAUAACCUAAGUGACUGUCAUGUCCAUAAAUUGUGUGACUUUAAUGUUAAUAAUCUAUUCUAAGUAACGGUAAUGUCCGUAAGUUGUGUGACUUAAAUGUUAAUUAUUUAAGUGACUGUCAUGUCCAUAAGUUGUGUGACUAUUAAUGUCUGUAAGUUGUUUGACUGUAAUGUCUGGGGCAACAACUGCAUUUAGUUGUUGAGUUACUAGUUAAUUAAUUAUUAAGUACCCCAGGGCAUGUAUGGAUUUGUGUUUUAAAACUUGGUAUUGUAUUUUGAAACAAUGUUUAUUGGAAAUAGAGGGAUUUUUAUUUAUUUUGUCGCACUGCUUUACUUACAAAAAUGCCCAAUUUUUUAUGUGAAACAGCCUUUGAAAGAAAAAUAUAGCAAAAAUUAUUUAAUUUUAUUUCUGAUAAUGUAGUCAGUCCGUAGAUGUCCCUUGACCAAAUAAAUGGUCCGCUAUCUACUUUUGUAGCCUGUUGAACAGGUAUCUGACUUAAGUUCUUUGUCCUUUUCUAUUAAACCUGUAUAUCCAUUUUUUACUACUUUGAGCACGAAUAAGAUGAAUGUUUGUCCCCAGUUUAUAGGUCAAGGUCACAGUGGACACUUUAAAUUUGUGUAUAUUCCUUAAAUGGAUGUAGUAAAAUUAUAUGUUCCUGCACGGCUUUAUUUUGUUAUAUUUUGUUUUAUUUUUGAUAUUGUAGUCGGUCAGUAGAUGUCCCUUGACCAAAUAAAUGGUCCGCUAUCUACUGUUGUAGCCUGUUUGACAGGUAUCUGACUAAGUUUUGUUAACGCCCGUUUGAAAAAACGGACAUAUUAUGUGAUCACCCAUGGGUGGGCGGCUUCCAGAUCUCUGAGUAUAACUCUUAAAGUAUAAGAGCUUUUCACAUGAAAAUUCAUAUAUGGAUUGAUUUCAUUGAGAAGAAGUGCAGUGCACGAGAACCAUAACUCUAGCUUGCUUAAUUUCAGAAUUAUACCACAUUUUAAAUUUUCUUUUCUGAGUCAUAACUUCAUAACUAUAAGGCCAAUUAACAUCAAACUUGGAAUAAACGUAGGUUGUGGUGUAUAGAAGUGCAGCCCACAAGAAUCAUAACUUUAGAUUGCAUAAUUUUAGAAAUAUCCCCAUUAAUAAUUUUGUUGGUAUGCCUUUUUUCUUGGUUGCCUGUUUUUUAUGUCCCCAGUCUAUGCUGGGGGACAUAUUGUUUUUGCCCUGUCUGUUGGUUUGUUUGCACAAACUUUAACAUUGGCCAUAACUUUUGCAAUAUUGAAGAUAGCAACUUGAUAUUUGGCAUGUAUGUGUAUCUCAUAGAGAAUAUUUCAUUGAGUGUGACCUUCUUGGUGACCUUCAAAAAAAAGACAAGCAUUGGGGCAUUACGACUCUUGUUUCAUCAAAAAAAAAAAUUUGUUCAAGGUAACUACAAUUAGUCCUCUACAACUUUCACAUUUUAUUUAGUUCAACAGUUCUAUCACAUUUUACAAGUUUUACAUAUUUUUGAGAAAAAAAGUAAAGCUGUGCUACUGUGGACAUUCAUUGUUUUACUCUUUUAUUAUUAAUUAAUGAUCUUUAAGAUUGGUAUCUUCAUUCCAUUUUGGACAUGGUCUGGUCAGUAUUAGUAUUAUACAUAUGAAUGUUAGAAGGUUCAUAUAUCUAUGUUUGCAAUUACAAGAUAAAAAUGCAGAUAAUAUUGCAGCCAAAUUGUGUUACAAUGUAUUACUAUCUGAUGUGUUGUGUGUCAUUGAAUAGCAUAAUCCAUGAGACAUCUUGCACCCAAGCUGAUCCAGGCAAAUGCUGGUCAUGCCCAAAGAAUUUUAUCUGCCAUUGAUUCUUAGAAGGUUUGUGCCCAGCACAUCAUCAGGCACAUUGAAUUUUUACCGUAAUGUAACAAUAAUACAUUGUUCUGGUUCUUACAUAGUUUCAAAUCGUGUAUUACUGUAUACAAAGUUCCCAUUUUAUGUCAUGGGCACAUGCAAGAUGCACAGAGAUGGCAAUAUUGAUAGUCCAGCAAUAUCAGUAGAUUUCUAUAUGAAAUGUAUAUAAACAGAAAUUUCAUUUUCUUUUAAUUUCAUCAUUUCUGGUCAUAUACCUAUCGUUCAUAUUUCAUUGGAAAGCUCUUGAAAUUCUUAAGAUGUCAUAAUUAAAAACUAAAAAUGAGGUUAAACAAACAGACCAUUUAUUGUUCAAUGUUCUUUUCAGUCAAAUUAUGGGAAAAAAAUCAUAUAGUGUAACUUUUAUGCUUAUAAUUUUCUGUAGACAAUAUUAUAUUGUAAAAUAUAUUUAUAUCUAAAAUGCAAAAUGAAUAACAGUUAAAAUGAUACCAUUUUGAGCUCACCUGAGCACGAAGCUUUUAGGAUCACCUUACGUCCGUUGUCCGUGGUGUGUCAACCUGCUUCAAAUGACAUCGCCUAAACUAUGCCAAUUUUGAUAAAACUUUACAAGAAUGAUCAUUGGGUGACCCUAUACUAAAAUUGCUUUAUUUGUUCUGCUUUUGUUGCACAAGAUGACUAUCAUUACUAAAAAUAAAAAAAAUCUUUAAGUGGCAUAUUCUUUUAAACCACUACGCCAAAUUUGCCAAAUAAGUUUACAGAAGUGAUCCUUGGGUUAUCCUUGACAAAAUUGAUUAAAUCAUUUCUUUAUGAUGCAAGAGAUGGCAGUUGUCGCUAGAACAUUAUUGGAUAUUUUGACAUGAACUAGUACACUAAUUGUUCAGGUGAGUGUCUAAGGGCCAUCGGGCCAUCUUGUUAAUAUACCCUCUCAGAGCUGUUAACAAUAUUUUUUAUAUUUAGUUAAAAAAUAACAGAAGCUAUUAACAUUUUCCCCCACUGUAAUUGUAAACUAUCAAAAUGGCUGCCAGAUUAUUGUAAAUAAGAACAAUAUAACUCUUAUCAGAUAGAAAAAUUGGUGCUUUGAAAACUAUAUUGAUAUUUUAUCUGUUUCUAUGUAUAGACGGCUUUGUAAAUUUCAUACAAUGAGUAGUUGGUUUCCUAUUGAACUAUUACGCCAUUUUGGCAUAGAACGUAACCAAAGAAUAUGUACUUUGUGAAGUUGUUUAGGUGAUGAGUUUCAGUACUGUUUCAGUCACUUUAAAUCUACACGUAAAAAAAUAUUUAUAAAUAUUUUAGAAUUCAUCCUCUUAUAAAAUGGAAAAGUUAAUGAAUACGUAAUAUACAUCUGUACUUUUUCAAGUUAGUAUUAUUUUGUAAAAUUGUUAUGAAUAAUUUUAUUCAUUAUAAAUCAUGUCAUGGAUUUUUAAUUACAUGUAAAUCUUAGUAUUGUGCUAUAGUCAUAAUUCUUUUAACUACAUUGUGAAAGUGUGACCUAGUGCUACUUUGACAUAAUAUAAUUGUUGUAAUAUCCUAAAAUCUGUUGUAAGUUUUGUUGCUUGUUAAUACAGUUCUACCGGUACUUGUUCUUGAGUUCAUAUUACUUUAGAAAUUAAUUAUGUUAGAUGUAUGUGUUUACAUCACACACAAUUGUGAUUCUACUGUAUAAUUAUAUAAGUAAAUAUGUCCAAUCUAGAAUCUGUUUUAUACUGAGCUUUCAUAUUUGGUAUGUAGCAUUAUCUAGAGGUCCGCUACCAAAGUUGUUCAAAUUGUUCCUCUGGGGUCAAAAUUGACUCCGCCCUGGGGGUCACAAUUUUACAUUGAAUUAUAUAAGGAAAACUUUAAAUGACUUGAACUGCUAAUGGGAUUUUGACCAAACUCAACAGAAAUGGUCCCUGGGUAGUCCUCUACCAAAAUUGUUCAAAUGGUUCUGAUUGGUUGCAUAAGUACACAUUGUCAAAAAAAAAAGGUUUUUAAAAUGCAACUUUCAAAAAUCUUCUUGUCUGAAACUACAAGACCCAGAGCUUUCAUAUUUGGUAUAUAGCAUCCUCUAGAAGUCCUCUUCCAAAUUUGGUUUAAGUUAUGCCCCUAGGGUUAAAAUUGACCCCGCACCGGGGGUCACAAUUUUACAUUGAAUUAUAUAAGGAAAACUUUAAAUGACUUCUUAUCUUGAACCGUUAAUGGGAAUUUGAACAAACUCAACAUUAACGGUCCCCUUACCACAAUUGUUCAAAUGGUUCUGAUUGGUUGCAUAAGUAGGUCAAGGGGUAAAAAAAUAGGUUUUCUAAAUGCAAUUUUCAAAAAUCUUCUUGUCUGAAACUACAAGUCCUAGAGCUUUCAUAUUAAUUUCAUGUAUAACAUCAUCUAGAGGUCCUCUACCAGUAUUUGGUGGACAACAUUAGUGGUCCUCUGUAAAUGGCUCCAUUGUGACCUUUGACCUUUUCCUAAGGUGAGCGACCCAGGGCCCUUUGGGCCCUCUUGUUAUUUUUCAUUAAAGGGACUCUCUCAGACACGUGUAAUUUGGGAGUAAAUAAACGUUAAAAAUUUGAUAUUCAACUUCCUCGUCACUAUACCAAAGACCGCUUUCAUUUUCCUUACUUAUAAGUUACUAAAACCCCAUGUUUUUGUUGCUUGGUGUGAAGUGAGCCUUCGCGCCAGUCUGUUCAACGUUGGGAAAGCCGGUUUAUAAAUAAACUGAGGAAUUCUUUUUCGCGCGCCAAGCUAUCACGUGACGUCUAAAAAUAAACACUACACAGCAACAUAGUAGCAAAGGGAAAUAAUCGUGCGCUUAGUUUGGGUGGAAUUCUGAACAUUUGAUGUAGAAAAUGCGAGUAUUUUUUAUUUUCCUUACCAAAUUGACCAAGAUUCAAUAAAUAUUAAUGUCUUCUCUAUUUGUUUUUGUCAUCGCUCGACCCAUUUUCGUCUAACGCAAAUAAUGUAUGCGACCAUGCACAUGUUCAGUAAACGUUUCCGAAGACCCACGUGACGAUGGUAUCUAAAAACACCACCUCUUAUUCUAAGUUAAGAUCGUUGUUUACAAAAUAAACCCGUUUAAACGGUCUUACAUAUCUGCGAUUUAAAUGUUAAUUUUCUUCUCUGUACAAAUAUGAGCAAGUUUGGAAAGCUGUCAAUAAUCUAGUUCUGUGUUACUUUAGAAAUGUAUGUUGUCGUGUUUAUGGUAGAAGACAAUUUAUUUACAAAAAGUUAAAAUCUCGAUCUCUGAGAGAGUCUCUUUAACGAAAAACCGGAGAACAGUAGUAAAAAUUAUUUAAAAUUUUGAGAAAAAGGCAUUCAUCGUUACCCCAAACCUUUAUUAUUAUCAGCCAUGUUUUUUUCAUAUCAGGGAUGGUCUAAAACCCGUGGUGUCUGGAACUGUAUAUGUUCUGAUUUUUUUACAAAUAAUGUUUUUUUGGGGGGGGCAGGUGGUUUUGGACAGGGGCGGGCGUGGAUGAGAAUCUAAAAUAUUUUUUUCUAUUGCCUAACUGUAAAAUAACAUAUCUUGAAAAAUAAAAUCCUGCAAAUACUUUCUACCUGUUGUUCUGUUACAUGUGUGUUGAACAUUUCUGUGACUUGUUAAAAUCCUAUGGACAAAUUUCUAGUCUAAAUUAGCUUCUCAAUUUAAAUAACUUGUUCCUUCAAAAUAGUGCAUGGUUUGAUAUUGUACUAUUUAAAAUUUGAAUUAAUAUUAUCUCUAGUCCUGGCAAGUCUAUGUUCUUUAAGUAAAUUGAAAUUAAAAGGUUUAUUCAUUUAAACAUUUUGCAAUGAUUUCUGUUAGUUCACAUCUUGUUAAAAUGUUUUAUACAUGCAUAGUUUAUGCCUUGGUUAAAUAAAAUCUGAAAUCUGUUGUGGGAAGUAUCAUACUAUGUAUUCGUGUUUCUGUUUGUAAAACGUUUAAUAAAACUAUUUAACAUAUA